AAAUUAAUGAUAUCUCAAUUUUUAAAAGUUAAAAAAAAUAAAACCAUACAAAAGAGAAAAAAAAAACUAGGUUAUGUAUGUACAAAUGAUAAGUGAUGCAUUCCUUUUGUUUUGUCUAAAGAACCUAAAAGGAGUGGUCAUUAUCUCUAGCCCUAUUCAUCAGGGAAUUGUUCUGUCUGGAGGAGCCAGCAUUAAAUAAGCAUUCACAGAUUGUAGAAUAGAUGUCAGGAGAGGAGCUAGGCUACAACUCAUAUACUUUAGCAGAUUCAUAGACAAGCGAAACAGUUGUGAACCUUGGUAUACCCAUAAUUGAACUUAAGAGCAAACUUCUCCCAAGUAUGUGAUGGCUUUACAUGUAUAGAAACACGGACCAUGGGAAAGAUUUGAAUG
rnacentral:lncRNA from 1 species